GGUAGUAGCAAAUAUUCAAAUGAGAACUUUGAAGACUGAAGUGGAGAAAGGUUCCAUGUGAACAGCAGUUGGACAUGGGUUAGUCGAUCCUAAGAGAUAGGGAAAUUCCGUUACAAUGCGUCCCAUUCGUGGACCGCCUAUCGAAAGGGAAUCGGGUUAAUUCUCUCGAACCAAAACAGGGAUACUGCAACCUAAUGGCACCAGCGGCAACGCAACAGAACUCGGAGACGUCGGCGAGAGGCCCGGGGAAAGUUCUCUUUUCUUUUUAACGGGCAAAGUUACCCUGAAAUCGGUUUAGCCGGAGAGAGGGUUUCACGUCCUGUAAAACCCCACACUUCUUGUGUGGUCCGGUGCGCUUUCGACGGCCCUUGAAAAGCCGAGCGAGUAGUUCAUUUUCUUGUCUGGUCGUACUCAUAACCGCAGCAGGUCUCCAAGGUGAGCAGCCUCUAGUU